UACGGAGGUUCCAAGCGUUGUUCGGAAUUACUGGGCGUAAAGGGAGCGCAGGCGGAUAGGUCAGUCUAAAGUGGAAAUCCGGGGCUCAACCUCGGGCUUGCUUCGGAUACUGCCUGUCUUGAGUUCGUGAUAGGAAGAUGGAAUUCAGGGUGUAGCGGUGAAAUGCACAGAUAUCCUGAGGAACACCGGUGGCGAAAGCGGUCUUCUGGCACGAAACUGACGCUGAGGCUCGAAAGCGCGGGUAGCAAACGGG
rnacentral:rRNA from 1 species